UACGUAGGGGGCAAGCGUUGUCCGGACUUACUGGGCGUAAAGGGCUCGUAGGCGGUUUGUCACGUCGGGAGUGAAAACUCAGGGCUCAACCCUGAGCGUGCUUUCGAUACGGGCAGACUAGAGGUAUUCAGGGGAGAACGGAAUUCCUGGUGUAGCGGUGGAAUGCGCAGAUAUCAGGAGGAACACCGGUGGCGAAGGCGGUUCUCUGGGAAUUACCUGACGCUGAGGAGCGAAAGCAUGGGGAGCGAACAGG
rnacentral:rRNA from 1 species